AUUUCUUUAUCUAAUUGGUAGUAAGGAUGUUAAUUGUUGUUCAUAUUGUUGUGAGGUGAUUGUUGGAGAUUGAUAAAGAAUUUGGAAAUGUUGGAAUCUUGAAGAUUAUUAUGGAAUUGAGCAUUCUUUGGGGAAAAUGAAAGAGAGUUCAUUGUUAGUGAUCUUGCAGGUUCGUGCGUGGAAAACUCGGAAUGGAAUAAAGGAAGAAUUUAGGUAUCAAGGUUAUAGUGAGAUGUAAUGGUUCAGAGUUUGUAUUAGGGUUAUAUAACCUUAUUUGUGAAGAAAUUAUUAUAGUGCUUUAGAAGUCGAGCAAGGUAUAUUGUAAUAUGUUAUUGGUUAUUGAGGAUGUGUUGUGGGCCCUGACCCACAGGUCCAGGAUCGUGUAUUGAAGGUUUUAUUCCGCUGCGAGUAAAUAAUUAAUUCGAGGCUAUUAAGUGUUGAUUGUGUUUUGUGUAUCUUAAUUGUGAUUAGUUAGCAGCUCGGAAGUGCGGGCUGUUACAGGUGGUAUCAGAGCAUGGUCGUUUUAGAGUUGUCGUGAUCUUCAUAUCAUGGCAUACGAGAUAAGAAAGAUAUUUUGGGAUUGUUCGAAAUUGGUUAGGGUUAUUGGUUGGUUAAGAAUUUAGGAAUAGAGAUUGAGAUAUUGAAGGUUCAAUAUUGAGAUUGAAAAUUUGUAAAAAUGAAAAGUUAUGUCGGAGUUUAGCUUUGAGUGGCUAUUUGAGAAUGAUCGAAUUAUAUUGAGAUUUUUGAUUCAAGAUUAGUGAUUAUAUUUUGCAGAAUCAAUUGAUCAUUCGAGGUGUCGGAGUUCAAUAAGAGUUGAUUUGAUUGAUUUUCGUUAAAUAUGUUUUAUGUGAUCUUUCUGUUUGAAAUAAUCUAAAGUUUUACGUUUUCGAAUUUCGAGGACGAAAUUAUUUUAAGUGUGGUAUAGUGUAAUAGCCUAUAUUUUAAGCAGGUUUAAUAACGACUUUAUAAAUGAGAUUUGAUAAGUAUAAUAGCUUAUAUUUUCAGACACGUUUUAGUCAAAGUUAGCUAUGUUCAUAUUAGUAAAGAAAUUACUUUGAGAAUUAUUAUUUAUCGUCUAAAGUAAGUUCCAAGCACAAAUAAGUUAAUAUGGAUUUUAUAUAAUAGAGAUAUUGAGUUGAAGUUUAAGCUUUGAAAUAAAGGAAACCCGUUUUUAAUUACAAUUUAUCUCUCCUCACUCAUGUCAUC